rnacentral:lncRNA from 1 species
UAAAUCUCUUUGAUAUAUUACCUCAAACACACAAAUACAAAUAUAAUACCAAUAAAGGUAGCUUCUCUUAGGUUAAACAAAAUAUUAUGUUCUUUUCCCUAAUGGCUUUCAUAAGCUGUCAAAUACAUUCUCUUGAAGACUAGGCUACGAAAUAGUCAAACCUUAUAAAGGUUGAAUGAAAAAUACCAAACAAUGUCUUUCUUCUAUCAAUUUUGACCAAUUUGCUUCUCUUAGGCCUUUCAUCAAACAGAUUAUGGACAUACAUUCACACUGAAUUAACACGACAUCGACUAUCUACAAUUCCAAAAUCGUAGUUAUCAGGAGAUGAAAUAAAAAAAACUGUAACGAAUAUGUGAAUUAUAAACUAAACUAAAUAAUUCUCACCUUCAUAAUUUAACAAUACAAUUGAUCACUAACAUGAAAAACAUAAAAUAGAACUCAAUUGAAAUAUUCCUAGAUGAAAUCAUUCAAUGGUGUAAGCAAGAAGGGGAGAAAAGAAAGGAUUUUUCCUACCGCCGGAAGGAGGCCAGGCGAAGCGGCGCCAGAUGGAGGCGACCCAAGGCGUAGAUCGGAGGUGGUAGGAGUCGGCGCACAUGUCGUUGUUGGGUCAAUAGAAAAGAAGCAUUGUUGGAGCCUGGAGGUGUGAUGAUUGAGGAAGAAGAGAAAGCAUCCGUGUAAACUAAAUGAGGGGCAAUCAAGGAGAAGACCCAGUCAGCUAAUUU